CCUACGGGGGGCAGCAGUGGGGAAUAUUGCACAAUGGGGGGAACCCUGAUGCAGCGACGCCGCGUGAGUGAAGAAGUCAUUCGUGAUGUAAAGCUCUAUCAGCAGGGAAGAAAAUGACGGUACCUGACUAAGAAGCCCCGGCUAACUACGUGCCAGCAGCCGCGGUACUACGGAGGAUGCGAGCGUUAUCCGGAUUUCUUGGGUUUAAAGGGUGCGCAGGCGGAAGAUCAAGUCCGCGGUAAAAUUGAGAGGCUCAACCUCUACGAGCCGUUGAAACUGGUUUUCUUGAGUGAGUGAGAAGUAUGCGGAAUGCGUGGUGUAGCGGUGAAAUGCAUAGAUAGCACGCAGAACUCCGAUUGCGAAGGCAGCAUACCGGCGCUCAACUGACGCUCAUGCACGAAAGUGUGGGUAUCGAACAGGAUUAGAUACCCCAGUAGUC
rnacentral:rRNA from 1 species